rnacentral:piRNA from 1 species
UGCGAGCUCACUUCGUUUUGA